UACGUAGGGGGCAAGCGUUGUCCGGAAUCAUUGGGCGUAAAGAGCGCGUAGGCGGCCCAGUCAGUCCGCUCUGAAAGUCAGGGGCUCAACCCCUGAAUGCGGGUGGAUACUGCUGGGCUAGAGUCCGGAAGAGGCGAGUGGAAUUCCUGGUGUAGCGGUGAAAUGCGCAGAUAUCAGGAGGAACACCAAUGGCGAAGGCAGCACUCUGGGACGUGACUGACGCUGAGACGCGAAAGCGUGGGGAGCAAACAGG
rnacentral:rRNA from 1 species